CGGUCCUCGGUAGUGGCUGCCGGAGCAGAAGAUGCCCGUAUCUGACGGGGCACCGACUCCGGCCGCUUCGAUCGAAGACCG
rnacentral:ncRNA from 1 species